rnacentral:tRNA from 1 species
GAAGCUUGCUUCUAUCGAACCGUUUUAGAAACAUCAGUGGCCAACAGAUCGCCAGAUCGUUGAGCUGCAUUGGCGGGAUUUCGCCGUCUUCGUUUCUCUUUCUUCGCGGACGAACACGCGCUGGGGCUGCAGGCUUGCAGAUCCCUGGUCCUUGACUGGAUAUGCGUUAGGGGCUUGUAGCUCAGUUGGUUAGAGCGCGCGCUUGAUAAGCGUGAGGUCGGAAGUUCAAGUCUUCCCAGGCCCACCACUUUCAUCGAGUGUGCAUUCGUCUUCUGGUUACGGGGCCAUAGCUCAGCUGGGAGAGCGCGUGCUUUGCAAGCAUGAGGUCGUCGGUUCGAUCCCGUCUGGCUCCACCAGAUGGUUUGAUCACCGAGAUCUUGUACCGUCGUCCGCGAAACAUCACUUCGCACUUGCUAGUCCGGAUGGACAGUAAGCUGCGUGAUUUCUGACAUCGUAAAGAGGAGAUCGAUCCGAGUUGGAUCGUGCGGAGAAUAUCUGCGCGAUACUUCAUUAUCUCCGGAUCAUUUCGGCGCUCGCGCGCCUUUCAGUGUAGCUCACAAGGCUGCGGCUGAGAGACGGGCGAGUUGUGAAUGAUCCUUUUAGCGAAGCUUGACCGCCUCGCUAUCGGAACGAUCUUACGAAGCAAGCUGGUCUUUCUAGUCAAUGUCCGGCUGCAGAUAGCGUUCAUCGAGGGCGCGUGCCGCAAGGUAAUUCUGCAGACAACAUUCUGCCGAGUGUGUGGACAUUGAUAAUGAGAGCAAUCAAGUGCCUUAAGGGUGUUCGGUGGAUGCCUUGGCGCUGAGAGGCGAU